GACGAACGCUGGCGGCGUGCUUAACACAUGCAAGUCGAACGGAAAGGCCCUGCUUUUGUGGGGUGCUCGAGUGGCGAACGGGUGAGUAACACGUGAGUAACCUGCCCUUGACUUUGGGAUAACUUCAGGAAACUGGGGCUAAUACCGGAUAGGAGCUCCUGCUGCAUGGUGGGGGUUGGAAAGUUUCGGCGGUUGGGGAUGGACUCGGGGCUUAUCAGCUUGUUGGUGGGGUAGUGGCUUACCAAGGCUUUGACGGGUAGCCGGCCUGAGAGGGUGGCCGGCCACAUUGGGACUGAGAUACGGCCCAGACUCCUACGGUAGGCAGCAGGGGGGAAUAUUGCACAAUGGGCGGAAGCCUGAUGCAGCAACGCCGCGUGCGGGAUGACGGCCUUCGGGUUGUAAACCGCUUUCGCCUGUGACGAAGCGUGAGUGACGGUAAUGGGUAAAGAAGCACCGGCUAACUACGUG
rnacentral:rRNA from 1 species